rnacentral:rRNA from 1 species
AGAGUUGAUCAUGGCUCAGGACGAACGCUGGCGGCGUGCCUAACACAUGCAAGUCGAACGAAGCUCCAUGAAAUGAGAUUCGUCAAAUGGAUGGAUGACUUAGUGGCGGACGGGUGAGUAAUGCGUGAGCAACCUGCCCUUCGGAGGGGGACAACAGUUGGAAACGACUGCUAAUACCGCAUGACGUAUCGUGAAGGCAUCUUCGUGAUACCAAAGAUUUAUCGCCGAGGGAUGGGCUCACGUCUGAUUAGCUAGUUGGUGGGGCAACGGCCCACCAAGGCUGCGAUCAGUAGCCGGACUGAGAGGUUGAACGGCCACAUUGGGACUGAGAUACGGCCCAGACUCCUACGGGAGGCAGCAGUGGGGAAUAUUGGGCAAGUUACGGGGGGAAACCCUGACCCAGCAACGCCGCGUGAAGGAAGAAGGCUUUCGGGUUGUAAACUUCUUUAACAGGGAAGAUAAUGACGGUACCUGUUGAAUAAGCCACGGCUAACUACGUGCCAGCAGCGGC